rnacentral:rRNA from 1 species
GACUAACGCUGGCGGCGUGCCUAAUACAUGCAAGUCGAACGGGAUUCUUUGAUCAGCUUGCUGAGAGAAGGAUCUAGUGGCGGACGGGUGAGUAACGCGUGGGAAUCUGCCUCUUACUGGGGGAUAACAGUGGGAAACUACUGCUAAUACCGCAUAAGAUCUUCGGAUGAAAGGUGCAACUGCACCGGUAAGAGAUGAGCCCGCGUCCCAUUAGCUAGUUGGUGAGGUAAAGGCUCACCAAGGCGACGAUGGGUAGCCGGCCUGAGAGGGUGAACGGCCACACUGGGACUGAGACACGGCCCAGACUCCUACGGGAGGCAGCAGUAGGGAAUCUUAGGCAAUGGACGAAAGUCUGACCUAGCGACGCCGCGUGAGGGAAGAAGGCCUUCGGGUUGUAAACCUCUGUCAUGGGGAAGGAAGUAAGUGACGGUACCCCAACGAGGAAGACCCCUGCUAACUACGUCG